UCGCUGCUCCACCCUCUCUCGAGCCCCUCGAUCCCAGAUCCCCGUCUCCAAGUCACCCUCUCCCUCCCUCAGAUCUCGAUCCGCCGCCGCCCUCACCAUAGACGAGAUCGAUCUCCUCCCUCCCUCCCGUUCUCCCCUAGCCUUAUCCACUCCGAGCCAACCAACCACUCCGGACCCCUCCUCCCCCACCCAGCCUUCUUCUUCUCCACCUCCGCCACAGGUUCCAGGAGAGCUCGCCUCGCCUUGCUGCUACCUGAAGCCACCAGCGGAGGCACGCUGGAGGGAGCAUGAAUGUCUCCGUCGUGCCCCGGAGCGACCGCGAGGUCGUCAAGGGCUCGGCCAAGGUCACGGAUCUGCAGGAAGCCAUCCAUGCCAAGCCUAAGAAGUAUUAUCCUGCUAGGCAACGGCUCACCCUCCCUGCACAACCUGGAAAAUCUGGAAAGCCAAUUGUCCUCAACCAAAAGGCCAGCCUAUCGGAAUACUGCGAGAAGGGUUCCGGGUCAUGUCUAGUACCGCUUGACAAUCACAUCAAUGCAGUGAAUGUGCUGUAGCCAGUAUUUUGCCCUCCUUGCUUGUUUGCUUGACCUCAUCUGGUACUGGUAGGGUCUUUUUGGUCACUACAGGUUGUUAGGAUCUUGAGAGGGGAUGAUUCGAAAUAAAUAGGCUCAUCUUUCAUUACUUGCUAUAUAUACAGUUCUGUUGUAUGCUUGCAAAUCUAUUUGAUUUGGUUGCUGUUUGUUCUUGUGUAUAUUAACUGUCUAUAUGUGCUCGUAUAUUAGGGUGACGUCACAGCAGGAUAUAUCUCGUGCAAGGCUCUGGUUCUUUGAGGGCCAGAAGAAGAUCUUGCUUUGUAGUGAGAUCUCACUUCUUCCACGGAUACAAGCUUGUAAAUAUGCUCGGUGAAUCAGCAAAUCCCAGGUGUAAUGUGUUUUUUUUCUCGUCUAAACCUCCUUAGAUAUGACCUACUGCUGAACUUAGUGCUGGAUGAAGCAGUCGAGUCUGAAAGAGUAGGCUUUCUAUUUUUUCUAAUGAUUGAUAGUUUCUACAGUUAGAGCUUAGAAUGAGAGUUAUGACUUAUUUGUUCACCAUAGAACAUUUUGUUCUACUAAAAUUUUGUCAAGGCUAACUUUGUACUAGAGCACUGCAUGGAGUACUAGAUUACGAAAAUGCAGAUUUAUGUUUUCUUUAAACAACAUGAUCAAUGUGGCUCUUUUGCAUUUAUAAAGAGAUAAUGUCCCUCCUUUCUUCUACAGUGUCGUGUGUAAUAAUCCUCAUCUUGCAAUUUCUAUAGUGGCGUUUAUCUAAUGCAUGUACUUGUACUGUCUCUCUGGACUGCUACUUAGCUUGGUUUCCCCAAGUGAAAGCAAGUCUUCAUGCAGUCCUUUUCACAUGAAAGAAUAGUGUUACAAAUCAAAUUUUGUUCUUAUUCUGCUAAGGUUGUUUGCAAUGGUUAUACAUAUGUUACACAAUUUUUGCUGCUCGCUAAUCAGCUUUAGAGAUGGUAACAUGGUGCUGCACUCGGAGGAUCAUCUUAUGACACACAAUCAAUUUUUGGUGUGCUCAAAAUUUUAAUUUUAGUGAUAAGGAAAGAUCCCACCUAGUUUGCUGGCUCUCUCACUUGAGUUGGUUUAACAGUAGUGGCCUCCUGAUUUGUAGUUGGGUAGGUAGCUGAGAAGACUCAUGGUGCUGGCUGGGAGCAAAAGUUUAUAUGCAUGGAUAAUGAACUUGCACUGAAUGGACACAAAUAAAGAGCUGAGUAUUAAAUUAACUUGUACUAACUGGAAACAAUAUUCUGUAUGGUGUACAUAAAUAUCGAGUUGAUAGCUGAUAUGUAGUGACCCCUUUAUCUACACACAUGUUUGGUUUAUAGCAGUGUAGGGGUUAUGCUACUACUGAUGUGGUUUAUAUGCCUGCUUUUAACUUUGCUGAUUGAAAUGGGCUGCUUUGUUUCAGAGGAGCGCUGCUGAUCUGAUGCUACGGGUUCUGCAAAACAACCCUGACAUGUGGCUGCAAGUGGUGCACAUCCUGCAGAACUACCAGAACCUCAACACGAUGUUCUACAAAUGUUGGCCUUCAUUCUUCAUAAGUUGGGUGCACAUGAGCUCUAGGAAGAAGAAUCCUAAAGAAAAACUACACCUAGCAAUGCGUUUUAGCUCAUUGGAGCUAGUUAUGUGUUGUGUAUGUUUAGUUGCAUUUUAUAGCUGAAUACCAGAUCUGUACUAUGUAUGAUUGUAAUGUACUUUGCUUGGCUGUUGUAUGAAAUAUUAUGCCUUAUUGGCUCUUUGAAUCAAAUUAUCUAAUUGCACAAAUA